rnacentral:rRNA from 1 species
UUCCCUACGGGGCGCAGCAGUGAGGAAUAUUGGUCAAUGGGCGGGAGCCUGAACCAGCCAAGUCGCGUGAGGGAAGACGGUCCUAUGGAUUGUAAACCUCUUUAGGCGGGGAGCAAUGCCGGGCACGUGUGCCCGGAGGGAGAGUACCCGCAGAAUAAGCAUCGGCUAACUCCGUGCCAGCAGCCGCGGUAAUACGGAGGAUGCGAGCGUUAUCCGGAUUUAUUGGGUUUAAAGGGUGCGCAGGCGGUCUGUUAAGUCAGCGGUCAAAGCCCGGGGCUCAACCCCGGCCCGCCGUUGAAACUGGC